AUACGUAAGUGGCAAGCGUUAUCCGGAUUUACUGGGCAUAAAGCGCGCGCAGGCGGUAGGUUAAGUCAGAUGUUAAAUUCCACAGCUCAACUGUGGCCCGCAUUUGAAACUGAUCUACUAGAGAUAAGGAGAGGGAAGCGGAACUCACGGUGUAGCGGUGAAAUGCGUAGAUAUCGUGAGGAACACCAGUGGCGAAGGCGGCUUCCUGGACUUCUUCUGACGCUGAGGCGCGAGAGCGUGGGGAGCAAACUGGAUUAGAUACCCGUGUAGUCC
rnacentral:rRNA from 1 species